CGCUUCAUACCCAUCUGUUUGUUUCUCUGGCCUGCACUUGAAGAACCCUAACAACCCUCAAAACGAAGUGAAAAUAGAGUGCUCGAACCCUCAUCGUCUUCUUCCACUGCCGAUUGUCUUGUAACCCGUUCGAAUCCAUCUUCUCCUUCGUCUUCACCACACGAUCCUGAGCAUGUGUUAAGCUGGUGACAGGAAGUGUUAAGAUGAGUAAUAGUGAUUACUUUUAGGCAAUACUUGAAACAACAAUGUCUCCAGCAUCCGUGUGUAAUGAUGCUUUGGGGAGUGUUUUACUCAGAAGUAGCAAAAUUUGUUAAGUUUGUGGACUACCAGAGCUGUAUACUUUACCCUUCUAUUCGUUAACGUGAUGAAGAAAGAAGACGUCACCUGAGGGCUAAAGUUCGGCGAUGCUUCAAAGAAAGACGAUGUAAUGAUUUGCGUGGGAAACAAAGUUUUGCCCAUUAAUGAAUCGACCACGACAUCUUCAUCCUCAAAUAACCCGAAUUCGAUUCACGUUUUUUAACCAAGUUUGUAUGACAUUGAUUUUUGAGUUAUUUGUUGUCUAAUGGGUAUCUGUUGUCUUUUCUUUUGGUGUAUUAGGCUUGAAGCUCUAAAUGAAAAGAGGUCUUGGGUGGUGCAGCUGGUUAACUUAGCUGAUAAAGAAAGAGAAAGUCUAGAGAGUGUUAAAAAUGAAGCAGAAGAUUAUAUGAAUAAGGAAGUUAAACUGGCAAUAAAAAGCUUUAAAAUUUGCUUCUGAAAGAAUGCGUCUGGCUUGGAAGCUUAGUUAACAUAUGAAAGGAGAAAGAUAAGGGAAACAAGAAAGAAUUGCAGGAAAGCAUAUGCAUACAAUCAGAUCCAAACUAAUUCCUGGGCGGAUUAAAAACAGAAAUUGGGUUAGAAUGGGUGAAAGUUCAUCCAGAUUAGCGAUAGACAAUUCUCCCGCCACCAACAACGUUUAUGUUGUGUUUGUCUAGGUUGUGCCUCAAUUUAUAAGCCCCCGGCCGCAACGCGGCGGGACUUACAUCUAGUU